CCUUCGAAGUCGACAUCCUCCUCCGCCCUCUCCCCGAAACCCUUGUUCCUUUCCUCUCCCCGCGUCCAUGCCGGCGCCCUCCCUCUCCAAGCUCGCAUCACAGCACCGUACGAAACCAGCGGCUUGGAGGAGCGCGCGAGCCAUGGCAGGCCGAUGCGGAGAUCGGUCACUGGAGCUCGCCCCGCAAACUCGUCUCCUCGCAUCGCCGGGAGGAGCAGCAGGUUCAGCGCCGGCUGAUGCGGGAGAGAGGCUGCCUCCUUCCUUCCUACUAUCAACCCUCUUCCAACUUCUGCACAAGAAACACGGAUGCCCGUCGCCGCACCUCGCGAGAGGAGGCAGUAGGACGCCGGCGGCAGCAGUCUGCUCCCUCCUGGUGGCUGGCGGGGGAGAGAAAAGAGGCGACAUAGGAAGUAGGAGCAAUCAGAAGAGCUAGAGCGGCAGCGGUAUGAAGAGGUGAUGUGGAAGAUUGCCUCCUUGAAGCCCCUCUCCAUCAUCCUCUAGCUUGAGGACGCCAAUGUCAUUCUUGACCAGUACAAUCUAGGCAAGGGCAGUCAUAAUCUCCUCCCCUCUCUCAUCCCCUACCCAUAAUUUCUCAUAUUGCUUUCUGUUGAUGUUUUGUAUCUAUGCAUAUAAGGUGUUUGAGGAAAAUCCAAACAUGCUGCAGUACAAGCUAGAACAUGCAUGUGGCUAUUCACUGGCGUUUUGUGUGCGUGCAGGUUAUAGAUCGGAGGAACGCGCGUCCGUAGUCACUAGCACCGUGAAAUUUUCCACAACGGGGUGCGGGCUUCUUUAUCCAACUGUCCUGUAAUGAUGAAUUUUUUUGUUGUUGUUAGGAUCACGGUCUUGGAAGCAUACACAUCUGGAGGUGGAAAUGAAGCACAAACUCCUCAAGGUACUCCGCUCACACUGUUUUAAAUUACGCGUUCAUACUGGAUUAGAACUUAGUCUUAUGCCAACAUUUGGGGUAUUGUGUUUUGGAUUUUCUGAGUUUCGUGCCGACAUUUGGGGGUGAUUCUUCCUGGUGAUUUCCUAAAAUAAAUACGUACUUAAUUAGAGAGUUCAGUCAUGCCUGCUUGUUGGACGGUUUCGUGGGGGAGGAUAGGCCGGUCGGUUGCUGCAUGUUUUCUGUCUCCUCUACGGAUUACCGAACAUGUGUUAUUCACACUUCCAGGUUGAAAAUUUGGUGUGGAGUGCUAAUGCGAUCACUGGUGUUGUAAUCCACAGCUUAUCAAUGCACUAUCUAUUUGGACUUUGGUAUUGCUUUUGCCGAAUUGAUGUUUGAUGUUAUCUCAAUUUUGAUUACUGCAUAAAGAUUUCAUGUUUUUUUCCUCUCUAUUCUUUGUAUGCAUAUGAUGUCUCUCCUUGCAAUGCAAGAUUGUCAAUACCUAUAAUAGGUUUUAUUUUUUAUGUAAGCUAUUUUUUGUGAUAACUCCAAUGUUUAUCUCUGCUCCAGCUUUAGUUGUUUCUGACGCAGCCCAAUUUAAGCUCGUUUUUUUUUUAUAGCAGCACAUAAUUUUGCUUCUGAAUGUUAGGCAUGAAUGAGUGUCAUCUAAAUAGAAUAGCACUGCUACAAGGUCUUAUCAGGCAUCAUGCUCUACUCUCUUUCAAUGCAAGUCUGCCCGUAGUUUUAUAACAUCUGAAGAUUUGCCAAAGAAGUGUCAUACCAAGUUUUAUCAUAUCUGAAGAUUUGAAAACACGAUAGAAAAUAGUAUGCUAUAAGUGGUCAGAUACUUAACUGGGCGUCAAAAUUUGAAAACACGAUAGAAAAUAGUAUGCUAUAAUUGGUAGUGUUACAGUUUAACAAACAAUAUUGGAGCACAUGAAAAUAGGUCAUCUUUGUCUGCCAUUCACGUCAUAGCAGUUGCCUUUUUUUGCUUUACUUAAAUAACUGGGGAGGGUCAUUUAUUUUUCAAAACAAAUAAUCAGGGAGAUGCGAUGUGAUGACUACCUUUUAUCAUUCUUGUCUAUGAAAAGACUAUUGUGGUUGCAUUAUUUUUUUGGUCCUCAUAUAUCUGCAUUGUCUUGAAUUUAUCAUCUUUCAGGCAAAGAAAUUGAUUUUCUUUAGAACCAAAGAGAGAGAGAGAGAGAGAGAGAGAGAGAGAGAGAGAUGGGCCAACAGAGAUAGAGAAAUUGAUAGAGAGAGAGAGAUUCAGCUAGAGGGAUGCUUCGCCAAGACCUCCAUCGACAGCAGUCUCUCCCCUGCAUGCCUUCCCCAAGCUGCGCGCUCCACCACCCAACGGGCAACGGCUAGCGCGUCUACCAGGCCAACGAGAUCAUUGCCGCCUCCAACAACAAAAUCAACCGUAGAUCAUCAGGUGUAUGUCUGCACGCAACCCUCGAGUGCUAAGUUUCGUAAUUUUACAUGUGCAACCUGGUGGAUUGGUGAAUCUAUACUGAAAUUCUUGGCCAAUAGUGGCUUGCUGUACUACAAUACUGUACCGAAUGACAAGCUGUAGCGACCUAGAGCUGGAUUGGUCUUCAAGCACCUGCAAGAGCCAAUGGGGUGACCACCUACCUGUUUACACUCAAUUGGUGAUUCCAAAGGGAGAGGAUUUGGUUGCUUCAUGUUCUUUGUACUAAAUAGCACAUAAACUUCAGAUUAUCUACAUUGUCUAUAAUAUUUUCUUCAAAGAUUUAGAAAAGCAAUAGCUUAUUGUUAUCAUCCGGCUACUUGGCAUCAGAUGGUGCAAAAUUUUCAAAGAUUAGGGAAGUGUAAGAUCUUGGGUGGUCAACAAUCACACCCAAUUUUAGCUAACAUGUGGAAGAUUGCGUUUCAUGGGACAAGCAUAAGAAUCGCCGACAUGAGCCGAGACGAAUACAGUUUAUGGAGGCGAUGCAGACGAAUACAGUUGACAUUGUCGACAGGAUGAAGGAGAUCGCCCAGGUGAUGAAAACCCCUGAUGAUGUGCCGCACUAUCAUGGUGUGCCUCCAACAGCAGGCCACGGCGGGGCUUGCAACGUGCCCAAGCCCAGGGCGUGGAACUCCGUGGAUCAGAGAAAAUGGACCUGGUAGCUGGCAUGGGCUCGGGAGCAUGCCAUCGGCAGAGGCAAUGCGCCUGUUUGGGGAAAUAUUAGAGGUAUAACUAAUUACAGGUGGUAUUCCUCAGCCAGUUGUAGAUAUUGAAAUGCAUGUAAGCCAAGGUUUUCUGCGAAAGUAUACCGUUUCUCUGCUUUCCUGAGAUUUCACAAUUCACUUAAUGUCCUUUAGGUUAUUGGUUUAUGGAUGGAUUGUUUACAUGUAUUCUGUUUUGCAAGAAACCAAAGGAAGAGGCAAACAUUGUAUCAGCUUUGACAAAUGGAAAAUCAUCAAUUCCUAAAAACUAUUUCUGACACAAGAUAAAGUUGUUAUUCUGGAAGGUCUCAGUAUUAUCAGUGCUCAUAACGAAUGGACUACUACCCUAAACCAUGUUAUGAGAUGUGUCAUAUGUUCCCUCGCCUCUUCUGAUUUGUAAGUCUACUAUCCUAUGUGUUAACCCUAUUUGCUUUGGUAGCAUUGAUUUGAAUUUUGGUUACUGCAGCGUGGAGCAACUAUAUUGCAAGACAAAAUAUAUAUGUUUGGUGGAAACCACAAUGGCCGUCAUCUUAGUGACCUUCAGGUUUGUGACGCUAAAUUUGAUUAUGUAGCAUGUCAUAUGUAUUCGUCCUACUUUAUUGUUGGCUCGGACAUGAAGGCAUCUGAGCAAAUGUUGUUCCAUUGUGUGUCACUAAAUAAUCCUUAACCAUUUUUUUAAUCAGUACAUGCUGGCUAGAUUAAAGUUUCAAUUUAUUAAUACUCCCUAAGCCGAUUUUUUUGUAAUAUUAGUGCCAUGUGGAAGCAUGUCCUAUAUGCAAAGAUUAUAGCUAGAAACUUAGAUUAUUAUUGCCGAAUUGAGUAUGUUGUCAAGACACAUGGGGAUAACGAUUUUUUUCCCUGAAAUAGUCUGCAAAUUAAUUAUCAUUUUUUUGGUUUAUUCAUUUGGGCCGUAUAAUACUUUAGUAGUACAACAUAGAUUUUUUUGCAUAUGGAGAUGUAAAACCACCAAAUCUGAAUCUGGCUGUGAAUGAGAAGAAAUUAUUUCAUGAAAUCGAGUAGAGUUACACCACACAACUUACCAUUGCACUUGCUAAUAAACUCAGGUCCUACUUUUUUUUGUGGGUCUACUGAAAUUUUAUAACCUCUAGGAGCACGGUUUGGUGCUUCAUGCUCGGGCUGUAGUAGUUAUUCAAGAACUGCCUAUUUUGAAUUGAAAGAGUGUGUGGACACUUCUGGCUCAUUUUGUGUAGUCUUUGAGCUCUCUUUAAAUGUAUCUUAAUAUGGCUUAUAGGAGAGAAACCAUUUAUCCUCCAGUCGAUUGAUUUAGGGUGGUACAUUAUAUAUGCUUUUUGGGUUACUCUUUGGUUACACUGGAAUUUUGUUUGUGCACACAGCACACAUUGUCUGUUCAUAGUGAUGCACUUCUUGUUUUCCAGGCCUUGUAACAUUAGCAGGCCAGUGAACUCUGAGGCGUUGACAAGGCAGAUCUGGCUCUUGGAAAAAAGCUAAACUCUGAGGCGUUGGGGAAGGAGAUUGAGGUCACUUCUCUACAACCAGGGAGAGACAAACACUUGGUGCAGUCAGCAAUCCCUUUCUCUACAACCAGGGAGAGACAAACACUUGGUGUAGUCAGCAAUCGCUCGCUGGAGGCAGAAGAUGGGAUGCAUGCGAUUCACUGUCUGUUUUAAAAAAACAUUCUAAAACCUUCUACAUUGGAUUUCCAAUAUGUGGUGCUUGUGAUUAAUCAUAUACCAAACACACCAUUUUUGAAGAUUACGACUUUUUGCCUUUUCCAUUUUUAUCUGAGAAAAUGUACUAUGCAGAACAAGAGUCAUCUAAAAUAAUCAUAUGGGAGAGAGAUUUUGAAGAAGUGAAUCUUAUUCCA